GGGGAUUUAGCUCAGCGGCAUAAGCGCCUGCCUUGCAAGCAGGCAGUCGUGAGUUCAAUCCCCG
rfam:Cavia porcellus supercont2_4 genomic scaffold, whole genome shotgun sequence.